AAGUCGUAACAAGGUUUCCGUAGGUGAACCUGCGGAAGGAUCAUUAGAAUUUCUAUAUAGAAUUUCUAUAUAUAUCAUAUUCAAAAAUUUCCAUUCUAAAAAUAAAUUUUUUAAUUUCAUUAAAAAAAAUGACAA
rnacentral:misc_RNA from 1 species